CUCCUACGGGAGGCUGCAGUAAGGAAUAUUGGUCAAUGGACGCAAGUCUGAACCAGCCAUGCCGCGUGAAGGAUGAAGGUCCUCUGGAUUGUAAACUUCUUUUAUCUGGGACGAAAAAAGCUCAUUCUUGAGCACUUGACGGUACCAGAAGAAUAAGCACCGGCUAACUCCGUGCCGGCAGCCGCGGUAAUACGGAGGGUGCAAGCGUUAUCCGGAUUUACUGGGUUUAAAGGGUGCGUAGGUGGAUUUGUAAGUCAGUGGUGAAAUCUCCGAGCUUAACUCGGAAACUGCCAUUGAUACUAUAAGUCUUGAAUUAUCUGGAGGUAAGCGGAAUAUGUCAUGUAGCGGUGAAAUGCUUAGAUAUGACAUAGAACACCAAUUGCGAAGGCAGCUUACUACGGAUUGAUUGACACUGAGGCACGAAAGCGUGGGGAUCAAACAGGAUUAGAUACCCUGGUAGUCCACGCCCUAAACGAUGGAUACUCGACAUUUGCGAUAUACUGUAAGUGUCUGAGCGAAAGCAUUA
rnacentral:rRNA from 1 species